rnacentral:rRNA from 1 species
AGCGAACGCUGGCGGUAGGCCUAACACAUGCAAGUCGAACGGCAGCACAGUAAGAGCUUGCUCUUACGGGUGGCGAGUGGCGGACGGGUGAGGAAUACAUCGGAAUCUACUUUUUCGUGGGGGAUAACGUAGGGAAACUUACGCUAAUACCGCAUACGACCUACGGGUGAAAGCAGGGGAUCUUCGGACCUUGCGCGAUUGAAUGAGCCAAUGUCGGAUUAGCUAGUUGGCGGGGUAAAGGCCCACCAAGGCGACGAUCCGUAGCUGGUCUGAGAGGAUGAUCAGCCACACUGGAACUGAGACACGGUCCAGACUCCUACGGGAGGCAGCAGUGGGGAAUAUUGGACAAUGGGCGCAAGCCUGAUCCAGCCAUACCGCGUGGGUGAAGAAGGCCUUCGGGUUGUAAAGCCCUUUUGUUGGGAAAGAAAAGCAGCAGGUUAAUACCCCGCUGUUCUGACGGUACCCAAAGAAUAAGCACCGGCUAACUUCGUG